UACCUGCACCACAAUGUCCUUCUAAGAUAAUAUUCACUGGUUUUUCUGUGUACAUGUCUGUUUUCCCCAUUAGGUUGUGAGCUCUGAAGGCAGAAGUGGUUCAUCUUUGCUUCCCCGGGGACUAGCAUUGUGAAUGGUCCUCAACUCUUUAACUCAAUAUUUGAUGGAUGCAUGAUUCUAUAUAAUAUACUAUGGAAAAACUGAUGAUAGAGUCAUUCACUAUGCUGGUCACACUGAAUAAAACAUUUGAACCAUCAUGUUAACAAAGCAAACAGGCAUCUGUGACAUGUGAGAAGAUUUGAAGUUGCCCAGGACAGAGCCCCUACUUAGAAGAUAUCUCCCAGCAUCUCAGAUUGAAGAUACAUAAUUGUUUUCACCAAACUUAAAGAAACAGCACUCAAGAGAAAAUGCCUCUUACUGUGUACGAGAUGUUCCCACAUCAGCAAGUUUUACUGUAAGAGAAGAUGUGCUCUGAGAAGACUUCCACGGUGGAUAUGGCCUCGCCUUGGGCUCUGGCUCUGUUUCCAAACUUGUCACACAGACUGGUGCAUGAGCACCCUUGGUACUGCCCUUGUCUGUCAAGCUGGGCCACAGGUGAAUUAUACCAUUGGCAGAGAAACUAGAGUGAAGCCCACAGACGUGCCUGAUGGAACCAAGAUCGUGAAGAGUAGUCAAGAGCUCAAGUAUUACUUGUAUGAUAAAAGUAAAAAACAAAAGCAUACAGGUAAUCUGGUGAGCAGCUGA
rnacentral:lncRNA from 1 species